rnacentral:pre_miRNA from 1 species
GGGUCUGCUCUAUGAAGAGAGCUAUCCGUGGACAGUGAUAGUUCUGCACAACUGUCAUGGAGUUGCUCUCUUUAUGGAUAGGCUU